GCUGGGUGUGGUGGUGCACACCUGUAAUCCCCACAACUCAGGAGGCUGAGGCAGGAGGAUUCCAAGUUCCAAAUCAGCCUCAGCAACUUAGGGAGGCCCUGUCUCAA
rnacentral:sRNA from 1 species